rnacentral:rRNA from 1 species
GUGCCAGCAGCCGCGGUAAUACGUAGGUGGCAAGCGUUGUCCGGAAUUAUUGGGCGUAAAGCGCGCGCAGGUGGUUCUUUAAGUCUGAUGUGAAAGCCCACGGCUCAACCGUGGAGGGUCAUUGGAAACUGGGGAACUUGAGUGCAGAAGAGGAAAGUGGAAUUCCAAGUGUAGCGGUGAAAUGCGUAGAGAUUUGGAGGAACACCAGUGGCGAAGGCGACUUUCUGGUCUGUAACUGACACUGAGGCGCGAAAGCGUGGGGAGCGAACAGGAUUAGAUACCCUGGUAGUCC